UAGCAUAAUAAUUUGUUUUUUAAAUGAAAACUAGUAUGAAUGGCCAUCCAUUUUCUAACUGUCUCUCUAUAUUCUCUUUUAAAUUUCUACCCCCGUGAAGAAGCGGGGAUUUCAAAGUAAGACGAAAAGACCCUGUCGAGCUUAAGCUAAUAAAAGAAAUUUUUAAUAUAUUAAUUUAUAUUUAUCUUUUUUAAGCUUUGGUUGGGGCAACCAUGGAGUAAAAUUAUCCUCCAGUUAUAAUAAGAUGAAUUUUAUUCUCUUUAUAUAUUUAAUGAACCAAACUAUUUUGGCAAACAGAAAAAGUUACCGCAGGGAUAACAGCGUAAUCUUCUUUGAGAGCCCAUAUUGACAAGAAGGUUUGCGACCUCGAUGUUGGAUUGGGGCAACCAAAAAGCGCAGCCUCUUUUAAAGGUUG
rnacentral:rRNA from 1 species